CGGGGGCGUUUCCUGUUGCUGUGGCGGCGGCUCCCGGGACCGAGAGGGAACCGGCGGCUCCCCGGGGAGUCCGAUUGUGCAGUGAAUGUCCACAAGAACUGCAAGAAUUUGCUGACUGAAUGCAGCAGCAGCAGACCCAAGCAGAAAGAUUUGCAGCACAGACCUUCUGGAUCUCCACAAAGUUCGCCCCAGUGCAUUUCCC
rnacentral:lncRNA from 1 species